GAACGCUAGCUACAGGCUUAACACAUGCAAGUCGAGGGGCAGCAUGGUCUUAGCUUGCUAAGGCCGAUGGCGACCGGCGCACGGGUGAGUAACACGUAUCCAACCUGCCGUCUACUCUUGGACAGCCUUCUGAAAGGAAGAUUAAUACAAGAUGGCAUCAUGAGUCCACAUGUUCACAUGAUUAAAGGUAUUCCGGUAGACGAUGGGGAUGCGUUCCAUUAGAUAGUAGGCGGGGUAACGGCCCACCUAGUCUUCGAUGGAUAGGGGUUCUGAGAGGAAGGUCCCCCACAUUGGAACUGAGACACGGUCCAAACUCCUACGGGAGGCAGCAGUGAGGAAUAUUGGUCAAUGGGCGAGAGCCUGAACCAGCCAAGUAGCGUGAAGGAUGACUGCCCUAUGGGUUGUAAACUUCUUUUAUAAAGGAAUAAAGUCGGGUAUGCAUACCCGUUUGCAUGUACUUUAUGAAUAAGGAUCGGCUAACUCCCUGCCAGCAGCCGCGGUAAUACGGAGGAUCCGAGCGUUAUCCGGAUUUAUUGGGUUUAAAGGGAGCGUAGAUGGAUGUUUAAGUCAGUUGUGAAAGUUUGCGGCUCAACCGUAAAAUUGCAGUUGAUACUGGAUAUCUUGAGUGCAGUUGAGGCAGGCGGAAUUCGUGGUGUAGCGGUGAAAUGCUUAGAUAUCACGAAGAACUCCGAUUGCGAAGGCAGCCUGCUAAGCUGCAACUGACAUUGAGGCUCGAAAGUGUGGGUAUCAAACAGGAUUAGAUACCCUGGUAGUCCACACGGUAAACGAUGAAUACUCGCUGUUUGCGAUAUACGGCAAGCGGCCAAGCGAAAGCGUUAAGUAUUCCACCUGGGGAGUACGCCGGCAACGGUGAAACUCAAAGGAAUUGACGGGGGCCCGCACAAGCGGAGGAACAUGUGGUUUAAUUCGAUGAUACGCGAGGAACCUUACCCGGGCUUAAAUUGCAGAUGAAUUACGGUGAAAGCCGUAAGCCGCAAGGCAUCUGUGAAGGUGCUGCAUGGUUGUCGUCAGCUCGUGCCGUGAGGUGUCGGCUUAAGUGCCAUAACGAGCGCAACCCUUGUUGUCAGUUACUAACAGGUUCCGCUGAGGACUCUGACAAGACUGCCAUCGUAAGAUGUGAGGAAGGUGGGGAUGACGUCAAAUCAGCACGGCCCUUACGUCCGGGGCUACACACGUGUUACAAUGGGGGGUACAGAGGGCCGCUACCACGCGAGUGGAUGCCAAUCCCCAAAACCUCUCUCAGUUCGGACUGGAGUCUGCAACCCGACUCCACGAAGCUGGAUUCGCUAGUAAUCGCGCAUCAGCCACGGCGCGGUGAAUACGUUCCCGGGCCUUGUACACACCGCCCGUCAAGCCAUGGGAGCCGGGGGUACCUGAAGUGCGUAACCGCGAGGAGCGCCCUAGGGUAAAACUGGUGACA
rnacentral:rRNA from 1 species